rnacentral:rRNA from 1 species
GGGGGGGGGGGGGGGGGGGGCGGGGGGGUGGGGGUCGGGCGGGUGGGGGGAGCUGGCGGCUGGGUUCGGCGGCGGGGGGGUGGGUGAUGCCUAGGAAUCUGCCUGUUCGUUGGGGAUGCCGUCCGGACACGGGCGCUACUACCGCAUCCGUCCUGCGGGCGGAAGUGGGGGAUCUUCGGCCCUCCCGCUCUCACAGGAUCCUAGGGCGGAUUAGCUAGUUGGUGGGGUACAGGCCUACCAAGGCGACGCUCCGUCACUGGUCUGAGAGGCUGAUCAGUCACACUGGAACUGAGACACGGUCCAGACUCCUACGGGAGGCAGCAGUGGGGAAUAUUGGACAAUGGGCGAAAGCCUGAUCCAGCCAUGCCGCGUGUGUGAAGAAGGUCUUCGGAUUGUAAAGCACUUUAAGUUGGGAGGAAGGGCAGUAAGUUAAUACCUUGCUGUUUUGACGGUACCAACAGAAUAAGCACCGGCUAACUUCGUG